CUGGGGUUUCUCGGGUCAUCUGUUGCUGCUUCAUGUUCUCUCCUAUCUCUUCCUUCGAUGUCGUCCUGCCUCUCUCUUCCUUGUUCACUUGUGGUUGUCGGUCCUGGUUUUCGUUUUGUCUCUUCCAGAAUCUUAUCCACUGUUUUCCUUGUGUACCCGUGCUUUUUUACUGUCUCUUUUGUUCUGCCGAAUUCUAUGUUGAAGAGGUUUUCUGUGCUGCAGUGCGUUGGGGCUCUUGAACGUAUGACCUGAUAGCUGCCUUUUUGUGCGUCCACCUAUCUCUCGACCACUUGGGUGUGGGGGCUUCUAUGUUGGUGGGCGUUCGGUG
rnacentral:lncRNA from 1 species